AUUGAACGCUGGCGGCAUGCCUUACACAUGCAAGUCGAACGGCAGCACGUGUUCUUUCACCUGUUGUCGAUUGGCGAACGUGUGUGUAUUACAUCUGAACAUUUCCUGUAGUUUGGGAUAGCCCUUCGAAAGCCGGAUUAAUACCCCAUACGAUCCACUUAUGACAUCUUGUGACCUUCUGUCCUCCCUCUUUUGGGUUUGCCGAUGGCUGAUUAGCUAGUUGGUUGGGUAAAGGCCUACCAAGGCGACGAUCAGUAUCUGGUAUGAGAGGACGACCAGCCACACUGGGACUGAGACACGGAAAAGAGUACUACGGGAGGCAGCAGUGGGGAAUGUUGGACAAUGGGCGAAAGCAUGAUAAAGCAAUGCCGCGUGUGUGAAGAAGGACUUAGGGUUGUAAAGCACUUUUGUAAGGAAAGAAAAAAUGGAAUAUAAAACAGACGGGGGAUGACGGUACCGGAAGAAUAAGCACCGGCUAACUACGUG
rnacentral:rRNA from 1 species